CCUACGGGAGGCAGCAGUGGGGAAUAUUGGACAAUGGGGGCAACCCUGAUCCAGCCAUGCCGCGUGUGUGAAGAAGGCCCUCGGGUUGUAAAGCACUUUCAGUGAGGAAGAACGCCUGGUGGUUAAUACCCAUCAGGAAAGACAUCACUCACAGAAGAAGCACCGGCUAACUCCGUGCCAGCAGCCGCGGUAAUACGGAGGGUGCGAGCGUUAAUCGGAAUUACUGGGCGUAAAGCGCGCGUAGGUGGCUUGAUAAGCCGGUUGUGAAAGCCCCGGGCUCAACCUGGGAACGGCAUCCGGAACUGUCAAGCUAGAGUGCAGGAGAGGAUGGUAGAAUUCCCGGUGUAGCGGUGAAAUGCGUAGAGAUCGGGAGGAAUACCAGUGGCGAAGGCGGCCUUCUGGACUGACACUGACACUGAGGUGCGAAAGCGUGGGUAGCAAACAGGAUUAGAUACCCCUGUAGUC
rnacentral:rRNA from 1 species